GUUGAUAACUCAUCUAAGCCUACUCAUGUGUCCAGGCACUUUGUCCAAUCCAAUGUUUCUUGAUCAUUGCCUCCUCCCUGAAAAUAACGAUAAGCUUUCUUUUACAAAUUAUUGAAUAAUUGAACAAAAAUUGCUCACUAUGUAGUCAACCAAAGCAUAAUGGUUUUUCUCCCUUAGUUACACUAUUACUCAUAAGAAUUAGGAACGCAAGGGAUAUGCCAACAACUUUUGGAUAACAUAUAUGAAGUAACUUUACUACUACAGUCACUACUACUUCUCGGUAAC
rnacentral:lncRNA from 1 species